AUAUUACUCGAUUUAUUUCACUUGACUGGGCGAAGUUUAUCCAGUUCGCUCAUAAUAAACCGGUCCAUCUAUAGAUAGGUGUUUUAGGAUAAACUCAUCAAUGAAGUGUUCCGUCAUUCUUUUGUAAAUUCCUUUGAGGUCACUGAUAGGUGAUUAGAAAUCAGUAAUAAUUAUAACGGCAAUCAUCGUAAUCACACAUAUCUUCAAAUGGACUGUCCUUAUGCAAAUUAAAACGUAAGCUCCUCCCGAUCAGUUGAAAUAACAUAGGUAAUAU
rnacentral:lncRNA from 1 species